rnacentral:lncRNA from 1 species
GUAAAUUGUAUCAAAGUGACAUUGUAUCAAUAGUACUGUGUAAAUAGUCCAGGAAACCCGCAAUGUCUGGGAAUUCCUUCAGAAAGAAAAAGAAAAGCUACAAAUGGAAGGAACCUAGGACCUUCCCAGCUGUGGCCCAGGUUACCGCGGGGACAGCAUAGGUCUGGAUGUUGGGUUGCACACACUGGUGUCCCACCUGCAGUUCACAUGCCCACUGCCCACCCCAUUUCUAUAAAAGAGAACAUCCCUCUUCCCCGGGAAAUGCAGGAAGGGGGCCUCCCACAGCCAGUGAGCUGCCCAGCUGCCAAAAGCCCAGCCCUUUCUCAGCUUCAAUUGGGAAGCCUCAGGCAGCUGGCUACAAAUGAGAGCCGUGCUUUGUCUCUGGUGUUCUGAUGCAGACAGGUGCCUUUUAUUCUCUUUCACGUUUUCGCCCCUUGCUGCUGCCGAGACUAGUACUCCAGGGGCCAGGUCUUCAGUCCCAUCAUGCGACCUAGAAGUUCUCAGGGACACAGAGGUCCCUGUUGCCCUGCUCAGCAUUGCCAUCUGCAAGAAGAUGGAUGUGUGGUUUACCUGGCAAGCCGGGGCCAGCCUUCUCUUCCCCAGCAUCUGGAAACACCUGCUGUUGGUGAAGGCAGAAGCCCAAGUCCUCUGAGCGCCUUGCGAGGAAUCUGCCACCCACCUGCCGUUGCUGCCCUCUGCUGCUGCUCGUGAGAAUUCUGCAAGCCGAGUUUCUACGGCUAGAGACCGGGGCAAAAUCUAACCCCACGUGGAGGAAUUAUCCGUAGGUCCUUUGUUCAGGAUUUGAUUGACUCUCCAAGAAUGCAUUUUAAAGUGCCUGUAACACCCUAGCUCGUUUCAUGAGUGUACCAUCUACAACUGCACCUGGGCGUCGUCAUCAAAUGCUGACCCUGGUUAUCCCCUGCUUAGCUAGCUGGUGAUGGAACAUAGCUGGUUCUCAACCUGCUCCUUGCUGACUUCCUUGUAGUGAUCUUUCAGGCCGCCAUAACCCAGAUGUCCCGAUUUGAGUCCCAGGUUAGCUACGACCUCUCAGAGCCUCUCAGCUGUCCAAACCCACCUCUCCCUCCCUCUGCAAUGGCCUUUAGCGCCUCCAGAGAGGCCCUCUAGCCUCCAGGUGUCUCCCCUUCCUAGGUCUUUGAGAUCCACUGUUCUAAAGCUUCCCUCUGAUCUGAGUCACCGCUCCCUCAGAGGAGGGUUCUUGGUCCUUCGGCCUUCCAUAUCUGACCUUCCUUCUCUCCAGCCUUAUCUCUGAUGACACCCACACAGCUGCCACAGGCUGACUCCCAUUCUCCAAAUACACAUCAUCAUUUCCUUUGUGGUUCGGUGGGUGCCAUAUCUCCUGUCAAAAAUACCCCUUUUGCUACAAAGUCUUUACUCCUCAUCUCAAAUGCUGUUCCUUCCACGGUAUCUUCUCAUCCCAUUCCCUUAGGAAAUGUGUUGUUACUUGGGUAAAUUUCUUAACAUUUUUUUUCCUGACAAAAUGUUUUGUUGAAAUGUGUGGAAUUAAUAAAGAAAAUGAUAACAUGAAAAAUAAUGAUUGG